UACGAAGGGGGCUAGCGUUGCUCGGAAUUACUGGGCGUAAAGCGCACGUAGGCGGACUCUUAAGUCGGUGGUGAAAUCCUGGAGCUCAACUCCAGAACUGCCUUCGAUACUGAGAGUCUUGAGUCCGGGAGAGGUGAGUGGAACUGCGAGUGUAGAGGUGAAAUUCGUAGAUAUUCGCAAGAACACCAGUGGCGAAGGCGGCUCACUGGCCCGGUACUGACGCUGAGGUGCGAAAGCGUGGGGAGCAAACAGG
rnacentral:rRNA from 1 species